AGUCGAACGAGGUCCAUGAAGUAGCAAUACUUCGGAAGACCUAGUGGCGAACGGGUGCGUAACACGUGAGGAACUUGUCCCGGUCUCUGGGAUAACAGUUGGAAACGACUGCUAAUACCGGAUGACGUCGGAGCAUCGCAUGGUGCGCUGACGAAAGGGUUACUGGAUCGGGAGAGCCUCGCGGCCUAUCAGCUUGUUGGUGGGGUAACGGCCUACCAAGGCAUCGACGGGUAGCUGGUCUGAGAGGAUGAUCAGCCACACUGGGACUGAGACACGGCCCAGACUCCUACGGGAGGCAGCAGUGGGGAAUCUUGCGCAAUGGGCGAAAGCCUGACGCAGCAACGCCGCGUGCGGGAAGAAGGCUCUCGGGUUGUAAACCGCUUUCAGCAGGAACGAAAAUGACGGUACUUGUAGAAGAAGGUGCGGCCAACUACGUGCCAGCAGCCGCGGUGACACGUAGGCACCAAGCGUUGUCCGGAUUUAUUGGGCGUAAAGAGCUCGUAGGCGGUUCGGUAAGUCAGGUGUGAAAACUUUGGGCUCAACCCAAAGCCUGCAUCUGAUACUGCUGUGACUAGAGUUCGGUAGGGGAGCGGGGAAUUCCUAGUGUAGCGGUGAAAUGCGCAGAUAUUAGGAGGAACACCGGUGGCGAAGGCGCCGCUCUGGGCCGAUACUGACGCUGAGGAGCGAAAGCGUGGGCAGCAAACAGGAUUAGAUACCCUGGUAGUCCACGCCGUA
rnacentral:rRNA from 1 species